CCUACGGGUGGCUGCAGUGAGGAAUAUUGGUCAAUGGACGCAAGUCUGAACCAGCAAUGCCGCGUGAAGGAAGACGGAUUUAUGAGUUGUAAAAUGCUUUUGUACGAGGGUAAACGCAGAUACGCGUAUCUGUCUGAAAGUAUCGUACGAAUAAGGAUCGGCUAACUCUGUGCCAGAAGCCUCGGUAAUACGGAGGAUUCAAGCGUUAUCCGGAUUUAUUGGUUUUAAAGGGGGCGUAGGCGGUCGGAUAAGUUAGGGGUGAAAUCCCGAGGCUUAAUUUCGGAAUUGCCUCGGAUACUGUUCGGCUAGAGAGUAGGUGCGGUAGGCGGAAUGUAUGGUGUAGCGGUGAAAUGCUUAGAGAUCAUACAGAACACCGAUUGCGAAGGCAGCUUACCAAGCUACUUCUGACGUUGAGGCACGAAAGCGUGGGGAGCAAACAGGAUUAGAUACCCUAGUAGUC
rnacentral:rRNA from 1 species